GCUGUUUUGAUCUACCUCUAACAGCGGGGUGCGUCAAUUGACGCUCCAUCGAUGCGACACGUUACCGUCGCACAUCACAUCUUGUGCACGUCAUGUUAUCGCGAUCGUCUUGUUCGAGCGCACGCCCCGAUAACAUAAUUGUGUGAGGAUAUUGUAGCGGAGUGACGAGUGUAAUUGUAUCAUAGUUUAUGGAGAAAAACAAUUUAAAAGGGACAUUCGACCUGCUGUCAAAUCAGUCAUAUUUAAACUUGCGCAAUGUCGGCAUGCGGUCGCGGAGGAAAACGUAAGUUUUGGGGGAAGUUUUUAGCAGCAUGGGCGAUAAUUAGAGGUAUCGAUGUUUUUUAUUUAUGUCAACGCUAACACACACUGGGCGAUUAUUAGA